AUUGAACGCUGGCGGAAUGCUUUACACAUGCAAGUCGAACGGUAGAGGGGGCAACCCUCGAGAGUGGCGAACGGGUGAGUAAUAUAUCGGAACGUGCCCAGUCGUGGGGGAUAACGUAGCGAAAGUUACGCUAAUACCGCAUACGAUCUACGGAUGAAAGCGGGGGAUCGCAAGACCUCGCGCGAUUGGAGCGGCCGAUAUCAGAUUAGGUAGUUGGUGGGGUAAAGGCUCACCAAGCCAACGAUCUGUAGCUGGUCUGAGAGGACGACCAGCCACACUGGAACUGAGACACGGUCCAGACUCCUACGGGAGGCAGCAGUGGGGAAUUUUGGACAAUGGACGCAAGUCUGAUCCAGCCAUUCCGCGUGCAGGAUGAAGGCCCUCGGGUUGUAAACUGCUUUUGUACGGAACGAAAAGGUUUCUAUUAAUACUAGGAGCUCAUGACGGUACCGUAAGAAUAAGCACCGGCUAACUACGUG
rnacentral:rRNA from 1 species